GGGCGAUGCACUCGUUAAUCCGGUCACGUCUCUUUUUCUCGAUGAGCCGGUGCGGCAGUUUGUAGGUUUCCUGCAAAGCGCACGGAGAGAUGGUGGGCGCGGGAGGAAGGAGGGAGAGGGACGAGGAAGGGUCAUGACUUGCGCAUCGGUUGCAGGAGCCCUGACUGGCAAGAACCCCCGGAUGCACCCAGAACUACUUGGAGUUGAAAGCCGCGCAGAAGGCAGGACUGGAGUUGAGGCUUGAAGAGGCCAGGGGUGCCAACUUACCCUGAUGACAAGUUCCAGGUCCCCCAGGGAAAGUGCAGGAGCGAGAGCCUGAACCGGCAUUCUGGACUCGACCGUGUGUGCCCAUGUUACCCCUGACAGUCUGCUUGGCAGUCACCCAUCGAGAAGAACCACUGGCCACUGGACUAAACCCUCCCCUGUAUAUUUGUUCAGGAGCUCUCAGAGUUCUCAUUCCUCAGGUCUGUUUGGACCCUGUGCCUGGAUCCUAGUGAUGUCUUCAUUCUCCAUCUCAUGAGAGUCUUCAGUGCAAACGGAGGGACAGGAUUUCCUGGUCUAGAUACUUCCCGGUGACCACCUUCAAGUUUCUCCCUUGUAGCCCUCCUCUAACAUUUACAUCUAACAGUCAAAAACAUGUCUCAGGGGCCCAGCUUCUACUGAACUUUUGAGAAAGUCAUCUCCAGCGAAGACAUGUUGUUUAUACAUGAACUCAUCUUGGCGGGUGUGUGUGGUCAGGAGGGUGGGGCUGGGCGAGGGCUGGUGGCUGCACCGCCUGUCUGUCGGCCGCAUCUGUCGCCCUGGGUCUGGGAGCCCCUCUGUGCUUCGCUCGCCCUCCUUGCUGCUGGCACCUCACAUACCAAUGUCCUUAGGCACUGUCUGCCCCAGUCCUACAAUCCAGCCAGUGCGGUUCCCGUCACAGCAAGCACUUCCUCUGUCAGAGCAGACAAACCGACUCAAGCCACAGCCGGAAGCAGGCUGACCACAAGUGCUAAGGUUCUGGUUAGUUCUUUUCUAGGUUCAACUGAAGAGGCAGUUCUAAGAAAGACAGCUGAGAUCAUCAGUUACCUCCUCAGAGAAAGUCCACUGAUGGUAGUUUUGUUUACCAUGUAAACAACAUAGCAUUUAUGGCUAAAUCCGUUAUUCUUUCACAGCCAGACUAGAGAAUUGCAAGGUUUUUUUUUUUUUUUGGUGGGGUCAUGAGGAUAAAAGACAGGAUCACUGGCCAGAAGAUGGGUCCCAGGAAAAUGGACCUGUAAGCCACAGAGUCCCCUCCACCCUUCAGAAUCCCCUUGGGGAAGAUUCAGGAGAGCAGAGAUGGUCCUUUCAAAGCAACUGUCAGAGGCACUGCACCUUAUCUUACCAAGCAAGAUGAAAGACUGGGUUUCCCAGAGUGCCUGGGGAUGGCUGGAGCGAACCAAAACUGGGGAGGGGCAGCCUGGAAACAGACUCCUGGCUUCAUAUAUCCAAACCCCCAGAAAAUGCCUGGAAGAGGGUGGAGGAGGAAGACUGAAGAUAACCCUUAACUUUUCUACAGCAGGAAUAUAUUACACUCAAUAAACCUUAAACAUUUGCCUCU